CCUACGGGAGGCUGCAGUGAGGAAUAUUGGUCAAUGGGCGUAAGCCUGAACCAGCCAAGUCGCGUGAGGGAUGAAGGUUCUAUGGAUCGUAAACCUCUUUUGUAAGGGAAUAAAGAGCGGGACGUGUCUCGUGUUGUGUGUACCUUAUGAAAAAGGAUCGGCUAACUCCGUGCCAGCAGCCGCGGUAAUACGGAGGAUCCGAGCGUUAUCCGGAUUUAUUGGGUUUAAAGGGUGCGUAGGCGGCCUUUUAAGUCAGCGGUGAAAGCCUGUGGCUCAACCACAGAAUUGCCGUUGAAACUGGCAGUCUUGAGUAGGUUAGAGGCAGGCGGAAUGCGUGGUGUAGCGGUGAAAUGCUUAGAUAUCACGCAGAACCCCGAUUGCGAAGGCAGCCUGCCAGGCCAUGACUGACGCUGAUGCACGAAAGCGUGGGGAUCAAACAGGAUUAGAUACCCGUGUAGUC
rnacentral:rRNA from 1 species